ACAAUGUCACCUCAGGGUUAGGGUCUGUCCUUUAUGCUAAUCCCUAGUAAUAUGUUAAGCUGGGGGUGGAAUAUUCAUGUCUUGGGGAAAGUGGGUGGAGAGUCCCAGAAUCAUGUACCCUCCCAUUUUCUGUCCUUGUAUGGCUGUCUCUGGAACUGUCAUGUCGCUAGGGGGUAUGAGUUUUACUAUGUUAAUGAGGGAAAUGUUACCUUUGAUCAUAAACUCCUACCUUCUGCGCAUGCUCUGGUCGGGAAAAGUCCCUAACGUCAAGUUCUUCCUGUUGUGGUUUCUUUUCUCUGUUUUUAUUGGUCCCGACACCCAUCCCUUGACCACAUCCUCCUAUCGCUGGCCCUGCCACCAGCAUAUCUAACUGCCUGUGCUGCCAGCUGCAUGCCCUCAUCCCUACCUAACAGACUGACUUACUGUAACCAUCCCUCUAUAUGAGCUUAGAUCUUGACACCCUUAUAAAUUGAGAGUUACUCUCCCUUAUCAGCCUGAGCUGUCCUGAAGAGCAGAGAAUGAAACUUCAUUAUGUUGGAUCCCAGCACAGAUCUGAUCUCGGGGUCUCAGUCUGUCGCCCAGGCUAGAAGACAGUGGCACAG